UACGUAGGGGGCUAGCGUUGUCCGGAAUCAUUGGGCGUAAAGCGCGUGUAGGCGGUUCGGUAAGUCCGCUGUGAAAGUCGGGGGCUCAACCCUCGAAUGCCGGUGGAUACUGUCGGACUAGAGUACGGAAGAGGCGAGUGGAAUUCCUGGUGUAGCGGUGAAAUGCGCAGAUAUCAGGAGGAACACCAAUUGCGAAGGCAGCUCGCUGGGACGUUACUGACGCUGAGACGCGAAAGCUAGGGGAGCAAACAGG
rnacentral:rRNA from 1 species